GAUGAACGCUGGCGGCGUGCCUAAUACAUGCAAGUCGAGCGAACAGAUGAGGAGCUUGCUCCUCUGACGUUAGUGGCGGACGUGUGAGUAACACGUGGAUAACCUACCUAUAAGACUGUGAUAACUUCGGGAAACCGGAGCGAAUACCGGAUAAUAUAUUGAACCGCAUGGUUCAAUAGUGAAAGACGGUUUUGCUGUCACUUAUAGAUGGAUCCGCGCCGGAUUAGCUAGUUGGUAAGGUAACGGCUUACCAAGGCAACGAUGCGUAGCCGACCUGAGAGGGUGAUCGGCCACACUGGAACUGAGACACGGUCCAGACUCCUACGGGAGGCAGCAGUAGGGAAUCUUCCGCAAUGGGCGAAAGCCUGACGGAGCAACGCCGCGUGAGUGAUGAAGGUCUUCGGAUCGUAAAACUCUGUUAUUAGGGAAGAACAAAUGUGUAAGUAACUAUGCACGUCUUGACGGUACCUAAUCAGAAAGCAACGGCUAACUACGUG
rnacentral:rRNA from 1 species